rnacentral:rRNA from 1 species
GAUGAACGCUGGCGGCGUGCCUAAUACAUGCAAGUCGAGCGAACAGACGAGGAGCUUGCUCCUCUGACGUUAGCGGCGGACGGGUGAGUAACACGUGGAUAACCUACCUAUAAGACUGGGAUAACUUCGGGAAACCGGAGCUAAUACCGGAUAAUAUAUUGAACCGCAUGGUUCAAUAGUGAAAGACGGUUUUGCUGUCACUUAUAGAUGGAUCCGCGCCGCAUUAGCUAGUUGGUAGGGUAACGGCUUACCAAGGCAACGAUGCGUAGCCGACCUGAGAGGGUGAUCGGCCACACUGGAACGGAGACACGGUCCAGACUACUACGGGAGGGAGCAGAAGGGAAUCGUCCGCAGUGGGCGAAAGCCUGACGGAGCAAGGCCGAGUGAGUGAUGAAGGUCUUCGGAUCGUAAAACUCUGUUAUUGGGGAAAAACAAAUGUGUAAGUAAAUAUGCACGUCUUGACGGUACUUAAUAAAAAAGCCACGGCUAACUACGUG